rnacentral:rRNA from 1 species
UACGUAGGGGGCGAGCGUUGUCCGGAUUUAUUGGGCGUAAAGAGCUCGUAGGCGGCUCACUAAGUCGGAUGUGAAAUCUCAGGGCUCAACCCUGAAACUGCAUUCGAUACUGCGUGGCUAGAGUGCUGGAGAGGAGACUGGAAUUUACGGUGUAGCAGUGAAAUGCGUAGAUAUCGUAAGGAAGACCAGUGGCGAAGGCGAGUCUCUGGACAGCAACUGACGCUGAGGCACGAAGGCCAGGGGAGCAAACGGG